rnacentral:rRNA from 1 species
GACGAACGCUGGCGGCGUGCCUAAUACAUGCAAGUCGAACGCAUUUUCUUUCACCGUAUCUUGCUACACCGAAAGAAAAUGAGUGGCAAACGGGUGAUUAACACGUCUGUAACCUGCCCAUCAGCGGGGGAUAACACUUGGAAACCGGUGCUAAUACCGCAUAACUCCAUUUACCUCAUGGUGGGUAGAUGGAUGGCGCUUUUGCGGCGCUGAUUGAGGGACUCGCGGUGCAUUAGCUAGUUGGUGGGGUAACGGCGUACCAAGGCUGCGAUGCAUAGCCGACCGGAGAGGGUGAGCGGCCGCACUGGGACUGAGACACGGCACAGACUCCUACGGGAGGCAGCAGUAGGGAAUCGUCGGCAAUGGACGGAAGUCUGAGCGAGCAACGCCGCGUGCGUGAAGAAGGUUUUCGGAUCGUAAAACUCUGUUGUUAGAGAAGAACAAGGAUGAGAGUGGAAAGUUCAUCCCUUGACGGUAUCUAACCAGAAAGCCACGGCUAACUACGUG